rnacentral:lncRNA from 1 species
GGGGGAACGCAAAGGGGUCGUGACGGGGGUUGUUCCGGAUGAAGGUGGUCUUUUCCCUUGCGGAGCCUAGAGUUGGCCGGGGAGCUGUGGCUGGAAUGUGCUGGCUGGUUCGGCUGAGUAUGCCCAACGUUCUGGGUCAGGUCCUGUUGGGCAUCCUGGGCACGAGUCCUCUCCUGGUUCCGCUUUAGAACACGAAAGUCAUGCUCUAGCUCAGCAUUCCGGGUAUGAAGAUGCUCGUACUUCUCCGACAUCUUAGUCAUACUAUCACGGAGGCGCUCCACUUCUGCCUGGAGAGAGGCGUCUCCCGGAGAUUUCCUUCGGGAAGUACCCUCGCGGGGGGUCUGGUGCUGGGUAUCGCGGCUAUCCUCGGU